rnacentral:lncRNA from 1 species
AAAAAACACAAUUAUUUGCUUUUUGCAUAUGAAGCACCAUACUUUCAAAAUGUUUUUUUUAAAUGCUUUUUUUAAUGCUCACUGUUUGAUCUCUUGCUCAUGUACAUAUGUGCCCUCUCACGUUCCCCCUCCUUCCUCCCCUGUGUACUAUGUACACUCCCCCUCCCUCUUGCCAACUCCAACUGUCCAUUCUCUCUUGCACAUGCAACCACAGGAGCGCACGGAUCACACCAACGCCACAGAACCAUGUCGGACUCAGAGACUGCAGCUCCUGCCGAGACCCCUGUCCCAGCACCCUGUGUGGCCAUCAAGGCAGAUCUAGACAAAUGUGUAAAGGAGAAUGGUGAGGAAGCGUGUAAGGAGCUAAUGGAGGCAUUUGCUGCCUGUGUGAAGAGCAAUGCUGAAGCGUCAUGAGGAGCUCAACAUGCAGGAAAAGGUUUCACUGCACUGAGUCCUCCACCUUCCCAGAAUUCCCUGCAGCUCAUGGCACUGGACUAAACGAUGGGGUUUGGGGUUUGGCAGCAGAGACCAUAUUUGUGUCUCUUCCCUUCUCUACCCCCCUGUGAAGCUUAAAUAGAUUCCUCCAACCACCAACCUCUCCUCCCCUUUUGUGGCUGAUUGUAUUGAUCUGAUCUGUAGACAGUUUGAGAUUUGAUGUAAAUUAUGUGUCUCAGAUGCUUUCAAAAUGGAAUAAAGAUUUAAAAAAUGGUUCGAUAUUUGUUACUGAAUUUGUUUGACAAUGUUUGUUUU